rnacentral:tRNA from 1 species
GAGUCUGUAGCCUAGCUGGAUUAAGGCAACGGCCUUUUAAGCCGUGAGACGUGGGUUCGAGUCCCACCGGACUCA